rnacentral:rRNA from 1 species
CCUUGUACACACCGCCCGUCAAGUCAUGGGAGCCGGGAAUGGCCGAAGUUGUCUCAUCACAGAGAUACCUACGCCAGGCUCGGUGACUGGGACU